UGGGGAAUCUUGCACAAUGGAGGAAACUCUGAUGCAGCGAUGCCGCGUGAGUGAAGAAGGCCUUUGGGUUGUAAAGCUCUUUUAUAGGGGAAGAUAAUGACUGUACCCUAAGAAUAAGGUCCGGCUAACUUCGUGCCAGCAGCCGCGGUAAUACGAAGGGACCUAGCGUAGUUCGGAAUUACUGGGCGUAAAGCGCGCGUAGGCCGUUGAGUUAGUUAAUUGUGAAAUCCCAAAGCUUAACUUUGGAACUGCAAUUAAAACUGCUCGACUAGAGUUUGAUAGAGGAAAGCGGAAUACAUAGUGUAGAGGUGAAAUUCGUAGAUAUUAUGUAGAACACCAGUUGCGAAGGCGGCUUUCUGGAUCAACACUGACGCUGAGGCGCGAAAGUAUGGGUAGCAAAGAGGAUUAGAUACCCUCGUAGUCCAUACCAUAAACGAUGAUUGCUAGAUGUUGGAAAUUUAUUUUCAGUAUCGCAGCUAACGCAUUAAGCAAUCCGCCUGGGGAGUACGACCGCAAGGUUA
rnacentral:rRNA from 1 species